GAAAUGCGAUAAGUAAUGUGAAUUGCAGAAUUCAGUGAAUCAUCGAAUCUUUGAACGCACAUUGCGCCCGCCAGUAUUCUGGCGGGCAUGCCUGUCCGAGCGUCAUUUCAACCAUCAAGCCCCCGGGCUUGUGUUGGGGACCUGCGGCUGCCCGCAGGCCCUGAAAACCAGUGGCGGGCUCGCUGUCACACCGAGCGUAGUAGCAAUCACCUCGCUCAGGGCGUGCUGCGGGUUCCGGCCGUUAAACAGCCUUACAAAACCCAAGGUUGACCUCGGAUCAGGGAGGAAGACCCGCUGAACUUAAGC
rnacentral:misc_RNA from 1 species